rnacentral:rRNA from 1 species
UACGGAGGAUGCGAGCGUUAUCCGGAUUUAUUGGGUUUAAAGGGAGCGCAGGCGGAGGUGCAAGUCAGCGGUCAAAUUGCGGGGCUCAACCCCGCCGAGCCGUCGGAACCGGGGGCCUUGAGUACCGGAGAAGUACGCGGAAUGCGUGGUGUAGCGGUGAAAUGCAUAGAUAUCACGCAGAACCCCGAUUGCGAAGGCAGCAUACCGGCGCCCGACUGACGCUGAGGCACGAAAGUGCGGGUAUCGAACAGG